CAAUGGUAUUGCCCUAGUACGGCGAGUGAAGCGGCAACAGCUCAAAUUUGAAAGCUAGCCUUCGGGUUCGCAUUGUAAUUUGUAGAGGAUGAUUUGGGGAAGCCGCCUGUCUAAGUUCCUUGGAACAGGACGUCAUAGAGGGUGAGAAUCCCGUAUGUGACAGGAAAUGGCACCCUAUGUAAAUCUCCUUCGACGAGUCGAGUUGUUUGGGAAUGCAGCUCUAAAUGGGAGGUAAAUUUCUUCUAAAGCUAAAUAUUGGCGAGAGACCGAUAGCGCACAAGUAGAGUGAUCGAAAGAUGAAAAGCACUUUGGAAAGAGAGUUAAAAAGCACGUGAAAUUGUUGAAAGGGAAGCGCUUGCAAUCAGACUUGUUUAAACUGUUCGGCCGGUCUUCUGACCGGUUUACUCAGUUUGGACAGGCCAGCAUCAGUUUCGGCGGCCGGAUAAAGGCUCUGGGAAUGUGGCCUCCACUUCGGUGGAGGUGUUAUAGCCCAGGGUGUAAUACGGCCAGCCGGGACUGAGGUCCGCGCUUCGGCUAGGAUGCUGGCGUAAUGGUUGUAAGCGACCCGUCUUGAACCACCGGACCCAAAA
rnacentral:rRNA from 1 species